AGGGCACCACCAGGAGUGGAGCCUGCGGCUUAAUUUGACCCAACACGGGAAAACUCACCCGGCCCGGACACUGGAAGGAUUGACAGAUUGAGAGCUCUUUCUUGAUUCGGUGGGUGGUGGUGCAUGGCCGCUCUUAGUUGGUGGAGUGAUUUGUCUGGUUAUUCCGAUAACGAACGAGACUCUAGCCUACUAAAUAGAAUGUGGAUUUACAAAACAUUUACUAUACUUUCUAGAGGGACAGGCGGUGAUUCAACCCGCCGAAACAGAGCAAUAACAGGUCUGUGAUGCCCUUUUAUGUCCGGGGGCUGCCGCGCGCUACCCUGAAAUGAUUAACCUGGUUUUUCAAGCUACUCUGUCAAGAGUGGGAAACCCAAUGAACCUUCCUCCUGAUUGGGAAUAGGGAAUUUUAUUUUUCUCCUUGAAACAAGAAUUUCCCAUAAGCGCGAGUCAUAAACUCGCGUUGAUUACCUCCCCGCCCUUUGGACCCCCCGCCCGUCGCUACCACCGAAUGGGUGUAUU
rnacentral:rRNA from 1 species